rnacentral:rRNA from 1 species
AGGCCUAACACAUGCAAGUCGAACGAAGGCUUCGGCCUUAGUGGCGCACGGGUGCGUAACGCGUGGGAAUCUGCCCCUUGGUUCGGAAUAACAGUUAGAAAUGACUGCUAAUACCGGAUAAUGACGUAAGUCCAAAGAUUUAUCGCCGAGGGAUGAGCCCGCGUAGGAUUAGCUAGUUGGUGUGGUAAAGGCGCACCAAGGCGACGAUCCGUAGCUGGUCUGAGAGGAUGAUCAGCCACACUGGGACUGAGACACGGCCCAGACUCAUACGGGAGGCAGCAGUGGGGAAUAUUGGACAAUGGGCGAAAGCCUGAUCCAGCAAUUCCGCGUGAGUGAUGAAGGCCUUAGGGUUGUAAAGCUCUUUUAACCCGGGAUGAUAAUGACAGUACCGGGAGAAUAAGCUCCGGCUAACUCCGUGCCAGCAGCCGCGGUAAU